rnacentral:rRNA from 1 species
AGCAGCCGCGGUAAUUCCAGCUCCAAUAGCGUAUAUUAAAGUUGUUGCAGUUAAAAAGCUCGUAGUUGAACUUCGGGGUCUACCCAUUGGUCAGGCUUAAUUGUCUGUACUGGUGAGAUGGAUCUCUACCUUCUGAGGAACUUUCAUGCCAUUUAUUUGGUGGGGUUGGAAAUCAGGACUGUUACUUUGAAAAAAUUAGAGUGUUUAAAGCAGACUAUCGUCUGAAUACAUUAGCAUGGAAUAAUGAAAUAGGACGGACUGAUUCUAUUUCGUUGGUUUCUAGGAUCACCGUAAUGAUUAAUAGGGAUAGUUGGGGGCAUUAGUAUUCAAUUGUCAGAGGUGAAAUUCUUGGAUUUAUUGAAGACUAACUACUGCGAAAGCAUUUGCCAAGGAUGUUUUCAUUAAUCAAGAACGAAAGUUAGGGGAUCGAAGACGAUCAGAUACCGUCGUAGUCUUAACCAUAAACUAUGCCGACUAGGGAUCGGACGAAGUUAAUUUUAUAAUGACGCGUUCGGCACCUUACG